rnacentral:rRNA from 1 species
GACGAACGCUGGCGGCGUGCUUAACACAUGCAAGUCGAGCGGUAAGGCCCUUUCGGGGGUACGACGAGCGGCGAACGGGUGAGUAACACGUGGGUGACCUGCCCUCAGCUCUGGGAUAAGCCUGGGAAACCAGGUCUAAUACUGGAUAUGACUCCAUGACGCAUGUUGUGGGGUGGAAAGCCUUGUGCGGCUGAGGAUGGGCCCGCGGCCUAUCAGCUUGUUGGUGGGGUGAUGGCCUACCAAGGCGACGACGGGUAGCCGGCCUGAGAGGGCGACCGGCCACACUGGGACUGAGACACGGCCCAGACUCCUACGGGAGGGCAGCAGUGGGGAAUCUUGCGCAAUGGGCGAAAGCCUGACGCAGCGACGCCGCGUGAGGGAUGACGGCCU